GAGAGACCAAGCAAGUAAUCCAGCUCCUACUGAAAUGAUACAUCUAAUAUUACAUAAAUACUAAGCGACAUGAGUGUCUGUCAACAAGUUCUUCCCUGGCCCUAUUGUCUUACUGAAGGAGAUAUUAGGAAACAAGACUGUUCCCUGCCCAGCUGGUGCAGAAUUGGGGAAACAUCCUAAUAGUGGGGAACAAAAAUAUGAAGGACAACCCAAUGAUCAAAGGAACACUCAAGAGCUAUAUAUGAAUGUUAAGUGAUUCAUGACAGUAUCACCUCAUCAUUUUUGCUUCUUUAUUUGUAGCAUGUUUCAACUUUACAAUGUAUAAUAUAGUGCAAUGUAACAAGUUUGAGGGAAGUGAUUAUUCCCCUCUAUUCUGCACUGGUGGGGCCACAUCUGGAGUACUGCGACCAGUUUUGGGUCCCCCACUACAGAAAGGAUGUGGAUACAUUGGAGAGAGUCCAACA